ACACACAACAAACUCAAGAUAAUACAAACAAUGUAAGACAAAUUUUGGAGAAAAACUAUAGACUGAAUACUGCUUUGAUACAGAAACACAUAACAUAUAUCGAGGUUAUCAAGCAGCAUGCACUCUAUGUAAAAAUGUCACAAACGUGUUGCUGCUAAUACAGAGAGUAAAAAAAAA